CCAGCAUGGAUGCCGGAUCUCAGCAGCCACUGAAUUCAGUUCGGUCUCUUCUCCAGUAUCCGUUCGAGAGGAGAACUAUGGUGGAAAAACUUAAUGUCAAAGAGCUUGGACCAGAUCAGCCCGACGUAAAGAUAAGCCAGCAGGAGAAGGAGAGAGAUAAGGCAUGGAUGAGUCAGGAGUUACAGACAUGAAACAUUUUUCUGAGAAGGGGAAGAAACACGAGUCAUCCCGGGCACACAUGGACAACAACACGGUGAAGCUAGCCAUGCUAGGCAGCAGAGCUAACGUUGCCAUGCAGGGAACAACAGCAGCUGGGUGCAGAGGUUUUUCACACCAUCCUGAGCCAUGCAAAAGAAGAUUCUUGUCACCACACCCAUGACCACAGCCGAAUCAGAAAGGUGCUUUUCAACUUUAAAGAGGAUUAAGACUUUCCUUGAGGAACACCAUGACACAGGAUG